AUUGAACGCUGGCGGAAUGCUUUACACAUGCAAGUCGAACGGCAGCACGGACUUCGGUCUGGUGGCGAGUGGCGAACGGGUGAGUGAUACAUCGGAACGUGCCCAGUCGUGGGGGAUAACGUAGCGAAAGCUACGCUAAUACCGCAUACGAUCUAAGGAUGAAAGCGGGGGAUCGCAAGACCUCGCGCGAUUGGAGCGGCCGAUGGCAGAUUAGGUAGUUGGUGGGGUAAAGGCUCACCAAGCCGACGAUCUGUAGCUGGUCUGAGAGGACGACCAGCCACACUGGGACUGAGACACGGCCCAGACUCCUACGGGAGGCAGCAGUGGGGAAUUUUGGACAAUGGGCGCAAGCCUGAUCCAGCCAUUCCGCGUGCAGGAUGAAGGCCCUCGGGUUGUAAACUGCUUUUGUACGGAACGAAAAGGCUCUGGUUAAUACCCGGGGCUCAUGACGGUACCGUAAGAAUAAGCACCGGCUAACUACGUGCCAGCAGCCGCGGUAAAAC
rnacentral:rRNA from 1 species